rnacentral:SRP_RNA from 1 species
GGCCGGGCCCGGUGAAUGGGCGCGGUCGUGAACCUGGUCAGGGCUUGACCGCAGCAGCCAUAAGCGUCGUGUCCGUAGCCAUCGGUGUCCUGGCCGCC